GCAGGACUGGAUAGCUCAGUUGGUUAGAGUGUGGUGCUGAGAAUGCCAAGGUUGAAGGUUCGGACAGCUGCAUAUUCCUGCA